UGCUAUCUGAGCAAGUCUGAUAACCCGAGUUCAGUCCCCAGAACCCACGUAAAAAGCAAGGUGUAGAGGUAUGCAUCAGGAAAUCCAGCAUUCCGAAGGCAAUACAGGAGGCAAAAACAGGAGACAUGUCCUAGAAGCUUGUAUUGCAGGUCAGCUAAUCCGGAACAUGCCUGCAAGAGGCGAACAACCAGAGACAGCGUCUCAACAAAGCAGAAGCACUGCAAAGCAGAAGAGAACAAAAGCUCCUACAAAGAACCGAAGAAUGAGAAAACAAAACCUAAGCAGAACAAAAUACAGCCCGUGAGGGCUGACCUCUGCUCCUCCUGCGCCAGCCGCGGUGUCACACACAGUGGCAGACACUGCAUGCACCUUGUUUACUGUGAGAAGCAAGAACAGCAUCCCUGCUAACUGAGCUCAUGUCACAGAAGAGAACACACAGGAACCAACAAUAAAGCCACUACAAGAACGCACUUCUCUGAUCAACGAGAACAGAGUACUUCCUACCUUCCUAAAUGUAUUACUAUGCCUAAGGUUAAAAAAAAAAAAAAACCUUCAUAUAUUUGACUUAUCACUUUUUUUCCUUACUCAAAAUGUCCUUUGGUCUGAAAGUUUAAAACAAACAAAGAAACAAAAAACUUUCCUAGUAGAUACAUUGAGCUCAUAAAAAAACAAAAAAAUAGGAGAGAAAGAAAGAAAGCAAGAAAGCCACACAUUCUGAAUCUGUGUAGUCCAGGAGUUAAAUAAACAAACAAUGCUGUAACUGCUUCAUGGAGUGAAGGCUCAACUAGUACCCUGGGUUUUCCAACUGUUUUCCUGAUUCAGUUAUAAGAGAGUAACCACAUUAUUCAUACUGAACUACAAGUUCAAUGUUGGACACUAUACUAGAUGUGUAAAGAUACUAAUGCCUUCUCAUUCAUCAAACCAAAGACCAACUAACAGAAAACUAACACAUAGGAAUUCUAAAAGUAAUGGAGAGCGGAAACACACUUGUGAACUGGUCUAGAACUGGCAUUACACCACUUCUACCAUAACAAAGGUAAUGCCACCCUAACUUCCCGAUCAUUAGCUAUAAGGACCAUAAGUUUAAGAGUUUCUGUGUGCUCCAGUCAAUAUAGGACCAGACAUCCAAAUAUCCAUGUUCUUAGGUUUUAGAAUUAGAUCCAAUCAAACUUUCUGUAUAGCGUGAGCAGUUCUUCCAUAAUCUACAAUCUCUGACGACAAAAAAUAAUUACCUAAUGAAACCAAUCAUUCUAUUGGUACAGCUCUUCUCUGAAAUGUGGGACACAGCAUAUUCUGUUUCCCACGCUCAACUCUAACAGAACCACUUCCACCUUAGGAACUCAAGACAGUAGCAUGCCUUCACUUGUGUCUAUUUAACAGUGAAAACCCUCACUCUGACAAUCCCAGGAAUCCUUGCUAUGAUCAUCGGCUUAUUACCAUCUCAAUACACAGCAGUGCAGCAGCAGUCUAUAGACAAAGCUGUAACUCAACCCACGACAAGCCAGUAACUAGUCCUGUUGCUAAAGGUGGGCUUUGCAUCCUGUAGGUACAUGAUUCCCCGACUUUAAGUGGAGUAUAUUAUCUGCUUUACUUAUCUCCCCACUGAUGCUUCCAGCCUAUUAUGUGCUCUGACUCUCAAUUCUAUAUCCUAUCAUAUGGCACUAUCUUUCAGCCUUUUCUCAUUUGUUAAUUCAGUAAAUAGGGCCAUUCCUUCAGCCCUGUACUUAGAAAGCAAUGGGGGUUGGGGGGGGGGAGAGUUAUACCGUAUCAAGGAUAGAAUCUAAUAGCAAGACAGUAGACACUGCAAUAUGGUUGACAACCAAAGAAUUUUUCAUCCAAUCGUGUACCCAUCUAUGAGUCUUUGAGAAGUUACGACCAUAUUGAAAUUAAGAUAUAGUAUAAUUCUUUGUAUGGUGGAGCACGCCUGCAUUCCUAGCACUUGAGAUGAGAGGCAGGAGGAUCAAGAGUUUAAGGCUGGGUCUGGCAAUGGCUAAGCAAGUAUAGGUGAUGCCACCAAGCCCAAAGACCUGAGUUCUAUUCCUACGAACCAUAUGACAGGAGGAGAGAAGUGACUCCCACAAACUAUCCUCUUUCUCCACAUAUGCUAUGCUCCCGUUUCAUAAAUGGAACUUUUAAAUGUAAUUUUAAAAAGUUCAGUACCACCUUCCACUACACAGCCAGUUUCAGGACAGUCUGGGUUGGAUGAUGCUAUCUCCAAACUCAUAAAAUAAAGCAAAGACACCACUGACAUUAACUCCACGUGGAUGUUUGAAACCUCCAUAGUAAGCCCAAACUGUAAACUGGGGUGGCCACUUGAGACCGCUGUGUGAGACAAGUGCACAGGAUGAAGAAUGAAAACAAAGCAGCACGACCCUUUCUUUAAGAAUAUUAGCAAAGCAGAAACUCAUACUAAUACCAGGUUUUAAAAAUACCUUCAACAACUGGUAAGGCUCUACAUCUCAGCAAGAGAAACAUGGACUAUUUAAAGACAGGCUUCCUCAGUGGUCUUAUCCUUGCAGUCUCUUAUCACUUAUGUAUUUGUUCCCAAACAACUAAAGCUCAGUGAGGCAGACAGGAGGGAUACACUACCUACCCACAAAAUAAUAUUAUGUGCUUAAAUAUUAUGAAUACAAACUCAGCACAGAACACAUAUUAGCUAGAGUAAAUGUUUGCUUUUUCCUCCACAAGUACUACUUUUUAAAAAAUGUUCAUAUAUGAUGGACACAUAAAUGGAAUACUAGACCAGGGAGGCAGUGGGAGAAGGGUGAGGUCAGCCUGAGCUUUCUAAUGAGUUCAAGGCCAGUCAGGGUUACACAGCA